UUAUACUUUUUCUUUGUCCUUCCCUUGCUUUUUCACCCUUCUUUUUCUCUAUUUCACACACUCCUUCUGGCUCUCCAUCAUUCCCUCACACAUACACACACACACACACACAAACACGCACAAAUGCACAUGCAUACCACACGCAGUCUGUUUUGUGCAGCCUGUCUGCUUGGCAUUGUGCGUCAUGAUCUAUGCAUAAUUGUGUCAGAGUGCAGGACUGAGACAUGUGAGUUGCGUUUAUUACGGCAGCCAGAGAAUCAUAAUCAUAUGUUCUGAUCCAUAAGAAGACAUAUGGACGAUGAGCGUAUUUGUCCACAGAACAAAGAGCUGCAGGCUGUGCACAAACAGGCUUCAAGUGUGCAUGAAUGCUUGUGUGUGUCUGCAUGUCUGGCUAAUGUCUUAUUCUAUAUACAGUUGGGCUUAAGGUCAGACUCCACGAACAGAAACCAAAAGAAAAUUGCUAGUAUCAGAAACUAGCCUAUUAUACAUUAAUACAUCAUUUUAAACCAAAACAAAGAGAAGUUUUUGCAUGGGAUCUCAACACAUUUGCCUUUGGUUUUAGCUAGUUCUCCAUCUGAAAGAGUAUUACUACAUUCUGCCUUCAUCAUCAAUCAGCAUCAGUCAGAACUUUGUUGAUAGCUGUUUUUGGUCACAAUAGCACUAAAUCAGUUACCACUGAAAACCAACAAAUAUUUUUACAAUGUGCAAUUUUUCUCAGUGACAAUAAAACCAGGCCAGAAAUCAUACAAUGUAAACAUAUUUUAAAUCACUCAUGUUUAACAAGCUUACGAUUCUCCACCAAGGGGUGCUUUACUAAAUAGUAUUUGGUAUUUCAUUGAAUGUCCUCUAUGUCCUCACUUUGGUGAUGUUGUUGGCAUGCAAGACCUACAGUGUGUGAGUGAUCAAGGUCUUGAGGGUGUGAAAGCAAGUACUUGAACCUCAAGAGUCCUCAAGAUUUACGUGACCACCAUUUUGAAAACCUGUAUGAGAAAUGGGAAUACCAUUGCCAUACAGGACUGCAAGACUACAACUGUACCAUUUGGGACAGAAAGUUACCUGUAAAUUUGCAGACCUACACUUAAUAGCUGUAUAAAAGAAAGAUAUCUUAUACACACAGGCAACAUUUAAUGCAACUUCUGAUAUUGAUAUCGAAAAAGUUUGCUUGGUAAGACUAGCAUAAUGAUUAAGGCGACUUCGCAGAGCUACUUAAACACAAUGUUCCUUUUGUCAACGAAAUUACUGAGAAAAAAACUUAUUGAUGAAAGGUUGUAAAAUUUGGUCAACAAUAUGAAAACAGUACAAAGCAUCCACACUGGGAUGAAACCAAAAGAUGACCAACAAAAAUAUAGCACAUCAUUAAGACAAUAUUUGCGCACUGAAAACUCUCCAUAAUUUUGCACCCCAUGUGGCCGGAAAACAAACGUAUUUCUGAUCGUUCCAUAAACACCAUUUGCGUAGGUACAGUGUUUGUACGUUUUUCUUAACGAGCGCUUUUUAUGAUGUGACAUGGCUCAGCACCCCAGUAGUUUCCAGACCACUCCAAAGCAGUCUGCUUGGUUUGUGCUGCUUUUGUGCAGGUUAAGAAAUAAAACAGAAGAAAUAUUUUGUUUGACAGAAACAUAGCACAUAAAGCAGAAACAGGCUGUUUGAAAUGAUCUGGACUUGAUGGAGGCCUGAGUGACAUUACAGGUUAUAGGGUUUCUCAGUGGACAAAUGCAGCACAGAUAAAAAGAAGUAUUUUCUCAUUCUCUGAUCAUAUACUGUAACAUGCUCUCUAUAUUCUGGUAUAUUAUGUCAAGUUAUGUCAUGGAUAAACAGACUUGGACUAAAUCAGAAUCGUGUAUGUUUUCGCAUACCCACAGAUUUGGCAGGAAUUUCUCACUGCAUUGCAUUGCAGCAUACUUUAUGUAAAGGAGGCAGAGAAGGCAGCUGACUGCUGUCUUUUCAACCCAGGACUAUCAUAGAGCACAACAUUGAAGAUCUUUUUUUUUUUUUUUACUGUUUUUUACUAUGUAUUCAUAGUAAAAUAACAAGAAGUCAUUUAUACCUAUUGUGUAUGGAUAUCUGAUUAAUACAUGUGUAUUGAUCCAUCUGCACUUUGAUUUUGCUGUACAUCCUGACACUUAAUUUUAGGAAACUAUAAACUGUACAUCAAUGUCACAGCACUAUUAAAGCAAAACCUUUGAUUUAUUAUUAUUUAGAUUUUUAAAAAAUUUUUGCUUGUAUUAUAUCGUAUGCCAUAUUGGUGCACUGCAGCGCUGAGGUUGAGAUGGAGGCAGAGGUGAACGAAGAGAUGGAGAAAGAAACAGAGACUGAGACGGAGUGAGAGACGGGGGUGGGCCUCCCCCGCUUCAGGGCCCCUUUCCUGUGCUCGGGUUGUUUGAGGACACGGUGAACUGGGCCACCCGAUCCUGAGGAGGGCCUACUGAGGGGGAAAAACGACGGCCAAUAUGGAUCAGCAAGCAAUGUUGCGGAUCUUGAGAGACUCCUCGGCAUGGAGAGAGAGCAGAGGGAGGAGAAAAGGUUCUGGAGGAGUGGAAUUGGACCAAUCGAUGAAAGGGGCGGGGACUGGCAGCUAACGUGGUAAAUAGGGACAACAGAUAAUCGCAACUUGAGUCUGGGAUCUAAGAGAGCCAUACUUAUUACAUCGGUGGAUUCAAGCUACAUGAAUAGGCUCACUGUGAAACUCUGGCUCUCUCUUCACUCUCUCCUCGUUCACACAACGCUUCACUCGUCAGCGGCAUUCCUGAACGCUGAGGUUUGCUGUGAAAGGUUAUACCACCAUACCCACAAGUGUGUGCACAAGGAUUACCAGUGUCCAGAAUGUAUACCUACAAUGGACAAAGUACUUUUUGCUGUAAUUCUAAAAAAAAAGAGAGAGAGAGAGAGAGAGAUAAACAAACAAACAAACAAACAAACAAACAAAUAAAUGAAUAAAUAAAUAGAAAGAUUUUUUUUCAUGGAAAUCUAAUAAAAUAUUAACUCUUACUAAAUUGUUUGAUUAUAAACACAGUCAUAAGGUAUACAAUACUAAUAAAAAAAAAAGAACUUAAACUGAGAAACAGAAUCAGGUACAGAUCAUGAGAGAAAAGCUAGAGAGGUCUGCUUCCUGUGGAAUGGAUACAUGGAAAUUUGAAUGACAAGUACUGGCACGGCCAUGUGUCCAUGGUCUGCAAUUAGUCUUUUUUUUAAUGAAGCCUAAUCUAACCAAAGUUAGAUUAAUCCAAAUGUGAAACAGCGUUCUAUGACUAUGCGCCAGGAUCCUCAUGAAAAAAAAUCUAGCUUUCUUGCUAAAUUGUGAAGGUUAUUAAUUAAAUGGUAUGUCCUUUAGAGAAGCUGGGAUAGUGCAGAAAUAAGAAAACCUCUCAAUUACAAUGGAUUUAGCACUUUGGAACUUUUUUCCCAUGCUUUUAUAGAUUUGUCAAGUUUCCUUACAUUUCCAGGUCUAGCAAUAAAUUUACAUUUAAAUUCCAUAUUUUUCCAGACUUUCCAGACUGCUGGUAAUUACUUACAUAUGAUAUCACUUUAUAUUAGGAAAUUAAUACAAAGUCUUUAAAAUAUAGCAUAGUAAUAAAAUAUGGCAAAUAAAUUCUACAUGACCAAUUUUCCCACAUCAGGCAAUUCUUAGAUUUAGCUUUAAAAAAAAAACAAAAAAAAGGAAAAAGUGCUAGAUUUUAAACAUCUCAACAUUCAAAUAGUAUUCAAAUCUCAAAUUUUGUUGUCAGCACUAAUACACACAUACAUUCAGAGUGCUAUACCACCAAUUUCUCUCAAUGUCCAUACAUGUAAUAAAUGUACUCCUACAUGGAUUUGAAUACUGUGUUUAUGAGCACUCUCUCACACACAUAUGCACACACUGAAUGUCUCAUGUGCUCAUGUGGUGAUGAAAAGCCACUCUCUUCAGUCUGAACUCACUGACACCACCCCCCCCCCCAGCCACCCGCCCACCCCCUUGUCCAGGCGCCCAUUUUGCUUUAUCUGGUGCUGGCAGAUUUCCUUUUCAAUAUAAAGCCUGUUUGGAGUCGAAUCCUCCUACCUCACACUGUUACAAAGCCAAGGGAAAGAGUUGCCCUUUCUCUGCGUUAAUGAUCUCGGCUGUAUUAGUGAACCAACAGGUGACACAGCAACAGGUAGUUCUUGAAAUGCUUGGAGCUUCUGUAUAUGUGUAUGGUGCUAUUAAUAUUAUAUAUGAGAGAGAAUCUUUAUCUGGAGCAUAAUUAUUUCACCAUUACAUCUGGGUGAAGUCAUGGCAAGGUUUUUCCUUAGGCUGCAUAUACUAGUCAACAAAAGGCAUAACCAGUGCAAGUUGUGAGAACACUGUUGAUAAGCAACUGGAAAAUACAGAUGCUGGAUGCAUGAUAGCUAAUAAGUACUUUUUUAUGUUUAUUUAAUUUUUUAAAAUAAAUAAUGUAAACUUAAAUCACAUUGGAAAUGAGGCAAAAUUGUUUGGAAUCUUAACAUUUUCCUCAGCUGUGUUGGUACAUUUAUAUGAAAAGACUUUAUUGGAUUGUAAUUAUUUUGUAAUUACACUUAACAUCAACCACAAACUGAAUUCCAUAAGCAAACAUUAAAUGUGAGCAAACAAUAAAUCUAAUGUUCUAUUAAUAUACAUACAUAUCAUUAAUAUAAAUAAAUCAAAUGUGGAUAUGUAGAUAUACUAGUUAGCUGGCAGUGUUGUUAUGGGUAAAAAGCACAUUCCCUUCUGGCUGUUAAUACAAAUAGCUAUAUAAUGCUAUGUAAAGUUGUAUGAUGUAAUACAUACUCUCUGAGUGAAGGAAAGUGCCAAAAAAAAAAAGUGCAUGAAAAUGAGUAUUAGUAUUUUUAAUUUAGCAAUGAAAAAAUUCACAAACAAGUAAAGACUGGAGAAAUAUAAGAAACAUAAAAUUUGGUGUACUGCAUCACUGUGCUAAUAUAAAAGCUUGGCGGCCAUUGGCCACUCAGUUUUCAGCUAGAAUUUCACAUCAUGAGCAUUGACUUACACUCAAGAAACUUGACAACUAUGUUCAUCUAUGGACCCUAAAUUGCUCUGUGUAGCUUGGCAAGAACUGGGCACUGGGGGCACUAUUUGCAAAGUGUGCAUGGCCCCCACAAAUCACAGCUGAUGGAUAUAGUAAUUAAUUAUAUCUGAGUCCUUUAGAUUUUUUCAAAUAAUAAAGUCUUUCUGGAAAACUUUGCAAACAGCCUUUUACACAUAGAUGUGUCAGAGUUCCAUUCUGUCUUAUUUUGCUUCUUGAAAAAGAAGCGAUAUAUGCUAAACAUUCCCCUUAAUAUGUUAGCUUAUGGCCAUUUUUAUUAUUUAAGUACAACCACAAGUAAAGUGUCAUCAAGUUCAAAACAGUGAGAGUUUGAGAGCAUGCAGGGCCAGAGUGGUUUGCCGUUAGAGUGUUUACACAGGCUAAAGAUCUGUAAUGCUUCAACCAGAGAGUGUAGAAGUGGCCAGCACUCCCUUAGUGGGCCCCGCUGGAACAGAGCACCAAGAAACCUUACUGUGACAAAAGCAUAAGCAAGAGACAGGAAUAUUGAAGAAAAAUGUGCAAAGAAAGAUAUAUAUGUCUAAUUUCUAAAAUUUUGCACUGCUGCAAAAUGACUUUUGCUGUUACAAAAUUGGCUGUUACAAUAUAUUAAACAGGCAUAUUAAACGUCUUUUAAAGGGGUUUUCAGACCUGUAGAUCUGUUCUUUGUUACGAAAUGGGGACUUAAAUUGUUACACUGUUGCACUUUCUCCUUAGCUCAGUUCCACCUAAAUGUGUUUAUGCAAGUCACAUGUGAGUAAACUGUGCUCUCAUUGGUCAGAGUGCACCUGUUUAUGUUCUGGGGUUCUGUCCAUAGCAUUCAUCCAUACAGGUGGAUAGACAGCAGCUCUGUGAGCUUAUUGUGGUUUUCUUUUUAGCUGUAGUUAUUAUGAUUUAUCAAAUGUAUAUGUUCCACAGAGGAAUUAAAGCCCAUUUCAUUGAGAUGUUCACUAAACACCUUGUAAACCUCUAUUUUUAUGCAUUUUUGAAAGAUGUUCAGAUAUAUGCUUGUCAGACCAAAUUUCAAUACAGCAUUUUACCCUGUCUUUGGUCCCAGUUAAACCACGAUUCAUGUUGCAAGCCAUGAGAAAAACAAACACGCAUUUUGAAUACUCAAGUUCCCAUCAUGCAUUGCUAUACAGGUUGGUUCGUUGGUCUGUUGCGUCUGCGUUCUCACCACAAGCGAAUUGCUCCAGAAUUCAUUUGCAAUCGGGCCCAAAUGUUUUGGUACGCAUCCGAACGCAAUUGCCAUGUUCAUAUAUGUCUAAACAAACAGAACCAAGAGACAAAAGGCACCAGGUUCCGAAACAAACGCUCCAAACAAGCCAGGUGUGAAAACGUUAAAGUAAAUAUUAAAAUCUAUAAGGUCAAGUGGGCUAAUAGUACUGUUUUGAAGUUUUGACCAUUGUAUAUCUAUUUUUAAAAAUUUCCCUCCCGAAAAGCAAAAUACGGUGUGGAGUUUACAGGUAAAAUAACAUUUUGAUUUAUCAAGGCUUUAAUUACUAACUUCACAUGCUAUUUAAUGGCCAUAAAAAUAUGAAGCAUAAACAUGGCUAAAAACAUUGUUGGCUUAUUGUUAACAGAGAACUCUCAUAAAUGCACUGGGGAA